rnacentral:rRNA from 1 species
CCUACGGGUGGCAGCAGUGAGGAAUAUUGGUCAAUGGGCUUACGCCUGAACCAGCCAAGUCGCGUGAGGGAAGACUGCCCUAUGGGUUGUAAACCUCUUUUGUCAGGGAGCAACGCCGGCCACGUGUAGCCGGACUGAGAGUCCCUGAAGAAAAAGCAUCGGCUAACUCCGUGCCAGCAGCCGCGGUAUUACGGAGGAUGCGAGCGUUAUCCGGAUUUUUUGGGUUUAAAGGGUGCGUAGGCGGAAUGUCAAGUCAGCGGUAAAAUCGCGGGGCUCAACCGCGCUCCGCCGUUGAAACUGGCGUACUUGAGUGGGCGAGAAGUACGCGGAAUGCGUGGUGUAGCGGUGAAAUGCAUAGAUAUCACGCAGAACUCCGAUUGCGAAGGCAGCAUACCGGCGCCAGACUGACGCUGAAGCACGAAAGCGUGGGUAUCGAACAGGAUUAGAUACCCUAGUAGUC